UAAAUUGAGAGUUUGAUCCUGGCUCAGGACGAACGCUGGCGGCGUGCCUAACACAUGCAAGUCGAGCGAUGAAGCCCUUCGGGGCAGAUUAGCGGCGGACGGGUGAGUAACACGUGGGUAACCUGCCUCAUAGAGGGGGAUAGCCUCCCGAAAGGGAGAUUAAUACCGCAUAACAUAUUUUGGUUGCAUGACUGAAAUAUCAAAGGAGUAAUCCGCUAUGAGAUGGACCCGCGGCGCAUUAGCUAGUUGGUGAGGUAAGGGCUCACCAAGGCGACGAUGCGUAGCCGACCUGAGAU
rnacentral:ncRNA from 1 species